rnacentral:lncRNA from 12 species
UUCACAUAGCACUUUCACAUCAUUAAUAAGUGUAAUAAAAUAUAUUAAGUUGUAGAGGUUAAAAUAAAUUCCCAAAUUUCAAAGUUAACAAUUUAACCUGAGAGUUAUAUAUUAAAUAUACAAAUAUAAUACAACUUAGUAAAUGUCAUGAUUUUGUUAUAAGAGUAUGGAUGGAGAGAGAACUUAACCUAUUUCUGGGAAUAUUAUUAAUUUUAUGUGAUCCUCCAGCUAAUAUGAUAGAGAUUUCAUAAGUUUAUUCAUGGAUUCCCUCCCUAUAUUAUAUGUUCUUUCCCUCAUGAUUUUAAACCUUGACUAAACACUAAUUUCCUCAUAUCAGCCCUAAAACGUAGUUAAGUGUCUUCUUUCCUAAAACAUACAUACACACAAAAGUAACUCAGAUUCAAGUUCUUAUUCAGAUACUUUGGCACCUCUCUCCUUUCAUGCCUACCUCCUGUUCUUUUUAUUGCCAACUACACUGUCUCCUAUCUUUCACAUUACUCAUUCACUCAUCAAACCACUGACUGUGGUCUCUACUGACCAACAUGUCAGGAAGCUAAAGCCUUCACAAAUAAGAAAAAGGAGCUCUGAUAUGAUAACCAGUUUGUCCAAAGUCAAAUAAAUAGUAGAAGGUAAGUGAGGUCUCUGGAAUCCAUUGUUGCCUCAGAAAUUAAUUUAUGUAUCAAAUAUUAAAUAAAAAGUGCAUGUUAUAAGGCUUACCUGUUGAAAUUAAAUAGAUUAAAAAUUAUUUGCGUGUUUUCAACACAUAACUCUGUUAAUGCUCAUUGACAUUAACAAAUUCAUGGAGAAAACAUCACACACUUUUAAACUUUAAUAUUGAUAAUUUAAAGCAUAUAUGUAAGAAUUAUGUCCACAAUCUUGUAUAAAGUUGUCAAUAACAUGACUUCUUCUUAUGCUUAAAUUCAGAUCCAUGUCGCUUACAAUGAAUGACCUAGAAGAUUAUGCUAAUUGGACUUUGCCUGCCUCUCUGACUUUAUCUCAGGCCACAAGAGAGGGAGAAGAAAUACAGGUAAUUUCAAGAGGAGAAACAUGAUGGUGAAGCCAAAAGCCUUUAAGAUCAAGAUGGCUGAGUAAAUUCUCUUUGUAUAACAGAUUAAAUAUGUAGUUUUCAGUAGAUGACAAGUCCUAGGUUUAAUCUCAACUCUGAAUUUAGUGGCUCAGAAUAAAUUCAUUUGAACUG